UGCUGUGUCUACAGGGUGGUCUUGUUUGAACAGGGCCCUGAAGGAAGUGAGGGAAGAGCCAUGAGGGUCUCUGGAGGAAGGGUGUUGGCCGAGAGAGGGAACAGCAUGUGCACAGGCUCCCAGGAGGGACGUUCAGCGGAAGUCGCGCUAUUGGGAACCGGAAGACACUGCCCUGCUAUUACUUAAAGAGAUUUACCGAACAAGGAGCAUUCGUCCAGGACAGCCCCAGCGUCGGUCGGACGUCCGUCUCACUGUGGACGGUGGAUGUGACGCUGGGAGCAACACCUUGGAGCAUGAGGACCGAGGCGCAUCCUAGGGCAGACAAGGAAACAAAAGCACAGAGAGGUAAAGUAACAUGUCCAAGGCCACACAGCUGGAAGGACAGAGUGGGAUUCUCACCCAGGCCGGUGGCGGCUGAGCCUGUGUGUGCGACCCCUGCACUCCACCGCCCGGCUUCUCCUGUGUGCGAAUUCUGACCCCACCUGCUCGGUGCUGGGCCCUUCACUGAAAGGCUUCAAUUUGAUUUCACAACCAUCCCACGGAGUAGAAGUUCUUGCCAUCUCUAUUUUACAGGUGGGGAAACUGAGGCCCAGCAAGUCGGAGCCCCUUGCUCAGGGUCACAAGGCCAGAGUGUGUUCCCAGUGAUGCUCUCUCGCUGCUGUGGCCAGAGGGGCCAGGACACAGCGUGGCCGGCAGGGGGUUCAUGCUUGGCAGCCGCUUGGACCCCUGCCCCUGUCCUGCCCCCAUCUCCACAUUCCCUGUGCUCCCUGAUUGGGAAUGGCGUCCCCAUCAGAUGUCCCCACACCCCUGCACACCAGGGGCUGAGGGACCUCCCGCCCCAUUGUUCAGACCAGGAAGCCAUCCCCUCCCUUUGGCCAGGGAGGCAGUCUCUGGGGGAAGGUCCUUCCCAGAGAGGCAAGUGCCAGGCCCUGGCUGGCCCCAGGACAGACGAACGCUGGCCCUUUAAGGGCAGGGGGCUGGGUGGUGGCUGCUCUGAACCCAAGGGUCACUGGAUCCCUUCUUAUCAGAGACGUUUUGAGGGGGUGAACCCAGGGCCAAGGGCAGCUGGAGUCAGCAGCUGGGCAGGGGGACCUUGUUUAAGGCAUGUUCUCCUCCUCCUCUGGGCUCAGUUUCCUCAGCUGUGCAAUGGGAGAGUGGGGCUGGGGCCCUCUGGGCCCCUGGGGUUCCGUGCGCCUGUGACCCUGAGGGUGGGUCCUUCCCUGUUCAUUCAUAGUAAUGAGUGCACACUUGCUGGGGCGUCCACCCGGCCAUUCCAGUGAGGUCUCCCGGGACCCGAGGGAAGGCCCCUACUGCUGUCUGUUUUAGGGGCAAGGGAACUGAGGCACAGGGUGGUUCAGGGAUACCCACGGUCAUGCGGCCAGUGAGGGUGAAGCUAGGGGCUGUGCCCAGGACUGGGGUUCCCUGGGCCACUGGCCACCCCACUGUCCUGCCGUCACUGCUCAUUCUCCCUUUCUCUCCUAACCCACACAGGACCGAGGGGCAGGAGGUGGCUGGGAUUUCCCAGGGGGCUGCGGGAACUCGGUGUGGUUACUGGUACUCCUGUCUCUCCUGCCAGACAAGGCCACGUACCCCUCUGGGCUGGACCAGGGCUUGGGAGCCAGCUGCACACCCUCCCUGGGGUCAGGGAGGGCUCCCUGGAGGCGGUGGCAUGUCAGCUGAGCAAGAGUAAGCACUAAGCCAGUAAAGGAAGGGAGAGAGGGCAUUCUGGGCAGAGGGGCCCCAUGUCAAAGAAAUAGGAGCUCUCCAACCUGGCCUCUGAGUCCCAGCUCCCAGGCCCGUUUUCUCAGUGCUGUGAGAGGGUUCCCCUCUGCUGCCCCCGGGAACCCUCUGAGCUUCCUUCGGCUACGGCAGGGCAGUCUGUCCACUGCCUGAUGGCUUUCCCACUGGACUGUCAGCCUGGUGUGGCCAAGAGCCUGGACCCUGGAGCCCGGCUGCCUGGGUCAGUCCUACCUCUGUCACUUGUAUCUCCGUCACCUCAGCAGAGUGACUUCACCGUGGUGUUACUCCUGUCAGGGAUACAAUCGUCAAUGUCCCUCCAGCCCAGUCGUGAAAGGCCCAUGGACUGAAUGAAUGACUCAGGAAGGAAGGACCAAGGGGCUGAGCACUGUGUGGCAAGGUGGCCCAGUGGGGUCUGGGCAGAGGGGUGCCACGGCUGAGCACGGGUCCUCGAGGGCCUUCUGGGAAUAGGGGCCAGUGUAGCCAGGUCUGCAGAAUGUUCCAGAGAAGCCAGAAUUCUAGAUCAUUUGAAAUCUCCCAAUUUUUAAGGCAAGGCUAAAUGUUAGAAAACAGCUCUGAGCCAAGGAAAACAAAGACCCUGCUCUUGGAGCUGCUAGAUGUCACCCUCUGGCUGCCCACCUCUCCCCAAGUGGCAUGCAAAUGAGAGAUGAUAUUCAAAUAUGAUGGCAUGCAAAUGAGAUAAUAUGCAAAUGAGCACCACAAACUGCAUAUAGCCAAAUGCACAAGUGGGUGAGAAUGCGCCUUCCUUUCCUCCUGUCUGCUCCCUCCCGUCAUGCCUUGCUGAAGGCAGGGAGUCUGGUCACUGCAGUACCUCUGGAGCCUGGACCCCUGCCUGGCACACAGUGGGCUCACCUUCUCUGUUGAACUGGACGGAUGAGUGAUGACAGGCAAGACGACAGUGGAUGUAGAUGAGCUACGGAGGAAGGAGCGUGGGAAAUGCUGACUGGCCGAGUGGCCAUGUGCAGUUUACAUCAGCUCCGCGCCUCUCUUUACUCAUCUGUAGAGUGGGCGCGGCUCGGGCCUUUCGGGAGGCAGUUGGACUGAGUGUGUCAGGAGCAUACAUCCGGGGCUCGAUGACCCAAUAAUUCCACUCCAGCCAAGGAGCAAUCCCUAAACAUGGAAAAAGGAAAGCUUUCUGUGUAAUCAUAUCGACCAAAAUAUAUUAUUUAUAACUUCGAAAAACUGGAAACAACUGAUAUGUCCAACAAUAAGGAAAUGGCUAAAUAAACCA